UCACGAACCAUCUUACCCCAACCUACUAUAUAUAAAUCGUACACUUGAUAUAUAAACCCUUAGACUCCCUUUCUGAUUCUAUUUUUAGCAUUUGAUAAAAUUCCAAUUCUGAUUGGAUCCUGCCCCACCGCGGCACUUUAUUACGUCACAGUCGAUUGCAAACAAAGAAAGCACGAAUCGGAAAUGUGGCCAACGUAGCGUGACGGUCGUUAGACGAACAACCGACCCGCCCAUACGUUUGUAUGUAAGCUGGGCUACAAAAUGGCGUCGCCCAAAAUCAGCAAUAAAAACGAUAAACAUAAUAAGUAACAAAAUAUUGCAGAUGAAGUGCACCAAACGCGUAACCGAUAAAAAUCAAGUCAAACGAAAAGCGUUUUAUAAAAUAUAUAUUUAUUUUACGUAAAAUGUUGUAAACCGUCUUUGCAAACAAGCAAUAAAUGAAAUAAUGGUUUUGACAUUAACGUGAGUAUGUUUUUUUUACAUAACUUCACGUAACGACGUUUCGACGUCAUAUACAGAGUUGUCUUUCAGGGUGAAAUGGCACUUACCAAAGUAAAAUAGAACAAUGUAUAUAUUCUGUUAUUAAGUUUUAUUAUUGUUUUUAUGUUUUAUUUGGGGGUUUCGGUAUAUUUAAAAUGAAGUGGUAAAUUAAUUACAAUCGAAAUGUGUACGCCUAUAAAAGGUCUUGUCCUAAACUUUUUAUACAAUGUGCUUUUAUCCAGUCAACAAUACGAUGUUAUGUGCUCCAGUCGAUGCUACAAUUGUUACAAUAUGUAGUAUAUGACGUAACAAUGCACAUUGUUAACAAUAAUCUUUUAAAGCCGAUCGCAUUUUCAAUGCCUAGCCCAUAUAAUAGGCACGCGCUGAGCCAAUUUGUAAAGCCUUUAUUAGCGAUAAACAAAAAUGACAAGAGCCACAUAAUGCUGAUUGUUCGAAUUCAAUAACCGAUUGUCUUGAUCAAGGCAAGACAUCUUUUAUGCUUAUUGUGAAAUAAUGGACAUUCAACACUAACAAUAUAUACACACGUUUGUCUUCUAUUCCUUAUUUCCGAGCCCACAGUCGUGGUAGUAGUGCGAUACAGCUAUGCAGUAAUCGUUAUAUAUUCAUGGUAUAUACGGUUUCAGCUAAUUACAGAACACCAAUGAAGUAAGACAGUUCAAUGAAAUUAAGCAACGAUAGAUAUGUACGAGCACCGAACCCGGAGCAUGACAGCGCCACACCGAACAGGUGAGCGGGUCAGACUGUGUGUUGCUUCAUUACAAACAACAACACGCAGAGUUAAAUCAUUAUGAGGUUAAGAAGUGUCUUCGCCAAACAGUAAAACAAAAACAAGCAAACACCGAACGUCUGCGCGAGACCUGGACUGAACAAAUUUAAACUCUCGGCCGAGAAUUUGUGUCAUGAAAUAGCUGUGUUUUGCCAGGAGGUUGCCGCGCGAGUGUUAGCUUUUCGUCUUAAGGUGCAUCUCCCAAACUGGGACGGCUCGAUUUCAUGUUCGAAAAUGAUAACGUCCAUUGUCCUCUGUAACAAUAGAAUCGUUCUAAAUAACGAUAGCGACUUUAGCUUAUCUAUGCUGGAACACUACGCUGGAUCUAAUGUCCAGUAGCGAGUUUUCUAAUUCAGGUUAACGGCUUCAGUUCCUGUGAUAAGUAACGAGUCUGAUAUUAAUUUUUGCUUCGUAAAUUUCAAAUUUCAAUACAUACAGACUUACGAUGAACCAAACUGCUAUAAUAGAUGAUGGUCUAUGUUUUAUUUUAUCACCCCAUUUAAUAGUAAACAAAGAAUAUUUAAAGAAUUGUAAAACCGUAUCCUUACUAUGGAACGGUAUGCUAACGGUAUCCAUCUUACACCACAGUACUAUAAACCAACAUAAACCUCUGUUUUGAACAGUUAAGCAAAAACAAUUUUCACAUUUUCGGUGCCUUUGUAGCAUCCAUAGUUUUGUAAUGUUUAGAAAACGACAUUUCUCCUAAACCGGUUUGGAUUGGUUGUACUAACAUGAUGUCCCUUCAAGACAACAAAUGUAAUAGCUGAUGUCUUUGCGGUAUACGGUUUGAUGGCAUGAGGUAAUGUCUGUUUUCAAUCCCCCAAUAUGGGUAAAUAACCGGCCAUAACAGCCGAAGCAUGAAUUGCAAGCACAUAUAGCGUGAUAUGGGCCAAUACAUGAAUACCAUUCGCUGUAUUUCAUUUUCACGGACAGUCAGUAAUACGGAAGCAUCGUAUACCCACGUCUGAAUCAUUGGGUAUGAGGAGUGUCGUCUCACGACACGGACAUUAGUCACCUGGGUUUUAUUAAACUAUCGCUGCUUCAGAACUAUAGGGUAAACUUUGAAGUCUGGUUGUAUGUUACCCCGCACCCCGCAAUUGGUAUCGUUUACAUCAUUCAUUGAAUGCAAAAUCUAAUGUUUUAUUCAUUGCUGAUUGACUGACAAAACUACAACCAUUGAUAAUGGGACAAGUAAGGAUUAAUGGUAUUACAUUAUUAAUGGUAAUGAUACGGUUUGCUGAGACCGGCGACUCGUGCAAGGACCUUUAUUAAGGAUUUUAUUAGGUGCUAAACGAGGUGGAAUUUGGUAUUGGUUUUGUCAAACGGUAAGGGGAAUUUCGUUCAGAAAACUAAACAAGUUUUAGCCUUUUAUAAAUGAUGUGACAUAAGAACUGUGGUGGGCCAGGAUGGAGACCUUUAGCACAUAAUCCAAUAUAUUUUCUAACCGUGUUUUAACAAUUAACAACGCUCUUUUAGAGUCCUGAGGAUACGGUUAUGAUAAAAGCAAAACACGGACCAUUUUAUCACAACUUACAAUAACGAGUUUAAAUCAAUUAAAACACGAGACAGGAGAAAUUCUACACGACUUCAAAAUGUAACAUAACCAAAACUAUAGUACAGUCAGCCUGGCCUACGUAGGUUUUUGUA